GACGAACGCUGGCGGCGUGCUUAACACAUGCAAGUCGAACGGAAAGGCCCUGCUUUUGUGGGGUGCUCGAGUGGCGAACGGGUGAGUAACACGUGAGUAACCUGCCCUUGACUUUGGGAUAACUUCAGGAAACUGGGGCUAAUACCGGAUAGGAGCUCCUGCUGCAUGGUGGGGGUGGGAAAGUUUCGGCGGUUGGGGAUGGACUCGCGGCUUAUCAGCUUGUUGGUGGGGUAGUGGCUUACCAAGGCUUUGACGGGUAGCCGGCCUGAGAGGGUGACCGGCCACAUUGGGACUGAGAUACGGCCCAGACCCCUACGGGAGGCAGCAGUGGGGAAUAUUGCACAAUGGGCGGAAGCCUGAUGCAGCAACGCCGCGUGCGGGAUGACGGCCUUCGGGUUGUAAACCGCUUUCGCCUGUGACGCAGCGUGAGUGACGGUAAUGGGUAAAGAAGCACCGGCUAACUACGUG
rnacentral:rRNA from 1 species